GCCCGCUUGGCUCAGUGGUAGAGCGUGUCACUAGUAGUCUCCAGUAUUCCUCAUCCAUGACAAGGUCAUCAGUUCGAUUCUGAUAGUGGGCA